UAUAUAGAGCAGUAUUAAUGCGCAGGCGUCAGUCAGUAUUUGAAACCCCAUGCAGCUUUGCUUAGAAAGAGCUGUGCUGAAAAUACUACAGAAUAGGUCUUCUGUCUUCAAUAAUGAUAUACAGCCUAUGCAGGUGGGGAUACAUUUUGAGCAACCAUUGGCAUAAUUAGUCUAAAUGUGUGACGUGGGCUGUUAUCGUGUUGUGCUCGAGGUCUGCACCUGUUCACUAGGACACUGAAGCCCCCGUGAAGGUUGGUUUAGCAGUUAACAGGAGUUAUGCCAUCUAGACCCGUGAACGGCUUUUGUUCAGACCAGUGAUAUUCGGUGAAGAAGGCAAGAAGCUGUAGCCAAGUCAUAGUGUGCAGUUCCAACUGCGAUGUUCGGCCAGUCACCUCACGUUCUUGGAGGCAUCUUGUGGAUUCAGAAUCCAAUGAGAGCUGUCCACUGCAACCUGAGCCAGAAUGGGAUCGACCACCAGAUGAUGUGCCCGGACGACGUGACCUCACACCUGGAGGAGCAGCCCCUGGACCAAGGCGCCGUGCUGGACGACGACAGCCCCACCUAUCAGGACGUGAGCCCCGGGUACCAGCGCCACUCACUGCCCCAGCGCUCCGUCUCCGAGUCAGAACUCUCCCGGCCGGGGAAUGUAAAGCUGUCCAAGCCAGUGGUCCUGUGGACCCAGCAGGACGUGUGCAAGUGGCUGAAGAAGCACUGCCCCAAGCAGCACCAGAUCUACAGUGACUCCUUCAAGCAGCAUGACAUCACAGGGCGGGCUCUGAUGAGAUUGACAGACAGGAAGCUGGAGCGAAUGGGCAUCAUGCAGGAGGGCCAACGGCAGUACAUCCUCCAGCAGGUCCUGCAGCUCCGCGUCAGAGAAGAGGUCCGCACUCUGCAGCUACUCACGCAAGCAUCUCUGGAGGGAUCUCCGUAGCCCAGGCGUUCUUGGAAACCAGCUGCCAACAGGACCCGGUCUCCCUCUGAUCCUGGGCUUCCUACAUCUGACCCUUGACCACCUCCCACCACCAAUCAAAGCCGUCCUAACCCCAAUCUCAUACCUAACUCCAAUCUUAAUCCUAACCUUGAUUUUAACCCCAUGCUUAAUUUCAAACCUUCAAACAAGUCAAGUCAUUGGCCUGUCCAGUGACUUAUCACAGACAGACAAUCAUUUUCUUGCCUUUAACCAAGAGUUUCCACUAUAUUUGUCCCUAUCCCAUCCCAACUCUCUUACCCCUUCUGAAUUACCACCAGGGCUCUAUUCUGAGAACAAGCAUCAAAAAUGUAUCCAUCCUCAACUGACGAUCCCACUACAAGGACUGUGGAGAACAAUGAGAAAACAAACACGUCAAAGAUGGCGUCCACUUCCAACAACCUUCUCACUGUAUAGUAAACCCUCCAGUGUAGAACAGACCUUAAGUGUGAAUAGUACCCCCACGAUACACCACCGAGCAGGUGUGUAACAUUCUAGUGACUUCUAAUGGUGACUUUAGAGACAUUGGGUACACCAGCCUUCCUCUCUCUCUCUGUCCUCACUGACUAUAUCGCCAGAGCAGUGAGAGGGCGCUACAUUUUGCAUUCCCUUCCCCUCUCUGUCCCUCUUUUUCUGACUGUUGUCUGCAUUGAUUCUGUGCCCUGUCAGAGUUUGGGCUUGCCUAGUGAAAAUUACAUCUGUUGUCCCGUCUGUCUUUUCCUCGCACCUUUCCCCACGUUCACUCUGUGGGUCGCUUUCUCAGCGGGGUCAGCAAGCCUUCACUGUGAAUACGUCCAGGUGUGGCAUGAAGCGGGAGAACCUGCUAAACCAAAAGGUACUAAAUGUGAUGGUGAAAAGACCUGGCAAACCAAAAGGUACUAAAUGUGAUGGUGAAAAGACCUGCCAAACCAAAAGGUACUAAAUGUGAUGGUGAAAAGACCUGCCAAACCAAAAGGUACUAAAUGUGAUUGUGAAAAGACCUGCCAAACCAAAAGGUACUAAAUGUGAUGGUGAAAAGACCUGGCAAACCAAAAGGUACUAAAUGUGAUAGUGAAAAGACCUGGCAAACCAAAAGGUACUAAAUGUGAUGGUGAAAAGACCUGCCAAACCAAAAGGUACUAAAUGUGAUGGUGAAAAGACCUGCCAAACCAAAAGGUACUAAAUGUGAUAGUGAAAAGACCUGGCAAACCAAAAGGUACUAAAUGUGAUGGUGAAAAGACCUGCCAAACCAAAAGGUACUAAAUGUGAUGGUGAAAAGACCUGGCAAACCAAAAGGUACUAAAUGUGAUAGUGAAAAGACCUGGCAAACCAAAAGGUACUAAAUGUGAUGGUGAAAAGACCUGCCAAACCAAAAGGUACUAAAUGUGAUGGUGAAAAGACCUGCCAAACCAAAAGGUACUAAAUGUGAUAGUGAAAAGACCUGCCAAACCAAAAGGUUCUAAAUGUGAUGGUGAAAAGACCUGGCAAACCAAAAGGUACUAAAUGUGAUGGUGAAAAGACCUGGCAAACCAAAAGGUACUAAAUGUGAUGGUGAAAAGACCUGCCAAACCAAAAGGUACUAAAUGUGAUGGUGAAAAGACCUGCCAAACCAAAAGGUACUAAAUGUGAUAGUGAAAAGUCCUGGCAACAUAAAUGGAACACGGUAUGGUAUUGCGAGGACCUGGCUAAAGUGCUUUUGAGCCAGGGAAAAUGAAAUGACGGAUAACCUACACGGGACAAUUGGUUGGUUGAGGGAGAGAACGAGGCAAGUGCUUCUCUACUGAUGAUGAAAAAGAUUCUCUCACAUAUCUCACUGCUUGAGACUAUUUUUAGAUAUGAGGUAUAUUGAAAAUAGUGUAGAAAGGAAAAUGUACCGUGGGCAAAAAAAACCCAAAUCAUCCAAAUGUCUGUCAAGUCUCAGAGAGAGACGUGGUAUGUAAUCUCUCGGGUACUGUUUUUUAUGAGAAACUAACUCUUUGCUGUGACUGUUCAUGUGAAAUGGCCAUUCACUGGUGAUAAAAAGGCAUUUUACCGGUCGUGCCAACAAACCUGUUGCUUGGGCCAUCGUGACCUAUAUGUGUGUUUUCACACCUUGUAGCCAGUAAUGAACUUUAACUAAAGCCAGUAUGCUGGAGUGAUUCCUAUUACCCAUGUAUCACUACCAGUGUAGCAUGACCUAUUGUUACCAUCACAACAACCUCCUCCCUGUGAAUAUGAAUAAAUGGGGAUCGAAAAAAUUGAAAUGGCCACCAAGAAACCAAAGGGGGAGAAUUCCAGCCCUGGAGAGCCUUUGAUUUAGCGGAAUUUAAUUGCAACAUUGGGUCUUGUGUGUUACGAGCGUCCAUUGUUUGGUUUGGAGCUUGCCUUAUGCUCUCUAGUGGUUGGUUGGCCCAGUAGUAGCAGAUUCGUAUUGAUUAAACCUUCAGGACUGCGUUGCCCUCCAGGCCUGGAAUAGCCCAAUCCCUGACAUUGGAGAGGUAAGGAAUGCUGAUACUUGGUCACAUGGGAUGAAGUUGUCCAUAUCAAAAUACAAGUGGCUAUUUCAUGCUUCGGUGGAGCUCUGGUGUCAGUGUCUCUCUUGGACUGUGUGGGCUGCCUGCCCUGCCUGGCUGCUUCCAGUCUAGAAGGCUGGCGCUCUGAUUUCACAUCAUCUGGAUGUCAAUAGCCAAACUGGGAGGAGCGGUCUACAGAGUUUUAACACAAGGCAGUGUUUUGUUGAGGACAGUAUUGUAUUCAGUGUUUGGGUAAGGGGAAAAACCCUCCUGCAACUGUAACAUGUCUGGAUGGAGCAGACCCACCAUAACUUGGCUGGUGGGGUGUUUUGGGGAAGGGAAGUAUGAUUACUUUGUGUGCCGUAGCCAACCAUGUGACUUUCAAGGCAUUUCAAACCUGGGUCAUGUUCAUUAGGGAAUACCAUAACAAAACGUUUUGCAACAGAAAACAAAAACGAUGGUUUCUUAUUGGACAAGUCCAGGUAGUCCCUCCCUGUUUGUCUGUUUUCUCCUGUUUGGUUCCUAAUGAACACGACCCUGCCCGCUCUGCCAAGGUGCCCGAGGACUUGCCUGAACUGGCUCUUUCCACAAUCUCCUGAUUUAUUUUUUUAGGCAUUUGGAAUUUUUUCGUUGGCACUUUACUAGUACACUGUUACACAAAAUAAACCUUAUAUUGAGCCUCACUUUCUUAUUGCACAAGAAAAACAUGCAUGCAAAUAGAAGCAGACAUACAAGGAAUUGUGUCACUACACAUAGUCAGACAUUACAUUCACAGGUGUAUAUGCAUCCAUCACGUUCUCAUUAUUCAUGAGUCAUUCAGUACAGUAUCGUGGUAGCAUCCACAUUAGUGUAGAAGUGUUUAGAAACAUUCUAUUCUUAUUUACAUUUUUAUUCAACGAGGCAAGUCAGUUAAGAACAAUGACGGCC